rnacentral:snRNA from 1 species
UGGUUUCUCUUCAAGUUGCAUAAAUCAUUCGCCUUUUACUAAAGAUUUCCAUGGAGAGGAACAGCUAU